UUCCUACGGGGGGCAGCAGUAGGGAAUUUUCGUCAAUGGGCGCAAGCCUGAACGAGCAAUGCCGCGUGAACGAGGAAGGUCUUCGGAUCGUAAAGUUCUGUUGAAGGGGAAAAAGAGCGGAGAGAGGAAAUGGUCUCCGAUUGAUAUUACCCUUCGAGGAAGUCACGGCUAACUACGUGCCAGCAGCCGCGGUAAUACGUAGGUGGCGAGCGUUAUCCGGAAUGAUUGGGCGUAAAGCGAGUGCAGGCGGUUCAAUAAGCCAGAUGUGAAAGCCUU
rnacentral:rRNA from 1 species